CUUGAAUUAACCCUACAUCAGGGGUUAUCAACUCUAACUAAUCCUCGAGGUCGACUUUCCAGCAUAGUUUAGCUCCAUAUUUGAUCAAAUUCACCUGCUUGUGACUUUCUAGUAAUCCUGAAGGCCUUGAUUAGCUUGUUCAGGUGUGUUUGAUUAGGGUUAGAGCUAAACUCUGCUCAACCCUGUUCCUGGGGACCCACUGUCCUGCAGACUUCAGCUCCAACCCUAAUCAAACACAUUAGAACCAGCCAAUCAAGGUCUUCAGGGUCUUUUGAAAAGUCACAGACCAGGUGUGCUGAAGAAGGUUGGAAAAAAACUUUGCAAGACAGUGGGUCCUGAGGAGCAGGGUUGAAGAGAGUUGACCUCUUGGGUUAAUUCAGGAUGGCUGGACCUGCAGGAAAAGCCAGAAAUGAGAAACCCUGCCCUACAAAGUGCAUAGCCUGUGACAGGUAUUUGUUGAAAUUCCACACACCCCGCAGGGAGAGUAAUGUAUGCCGGUUGUUGCUUUACACUGGACCUCCUUCAUCUUAUGAGUCAUCUCCAUCUUACAGGAAAGAACAUGUGUCUGCUGACCCAACCGCUCGUGUGCUUCAAAGAUCUAGAAACCAGUAGAGCUCCUCAACUUCAAGAUCACUUUAUAAAUAAUUGAAAUAAAUUAACAUGAAUAGAUAUUCUGUAUAAUAAA
ensembl:lncRNA